rnacentral:rRNA from 1 species
UGCGUAGGCGGAUAGAUAAGUCAGAGGUGAAAGCUCUCAGCUCAACUGAGGAAUUGCCUUUGAUACUGUUUAUCUUGAAUUAUGUUGAGGUUAGCGGAAUGUGACAUGUAGCGGUGAAAUGCAUAGAUAUGUCAUAGAACACCAAUUGCGAAGGCAGCUAGCUAGGCAUAUAUUGACGCUGAGGCACGAAAGCGUGGGGAGCGAACAGGAUUAGAUACCCUGGUAGUCC